CACGUAGGGCGCGAGCGUUGUCCGGAAUUAUUGGGCGUAAAGAGCUCGUAGGCGGCCUGUUGCGUCCGCUGUGAAAGCCCGGGGCUUAACCCCGGGUCUGCAGUGGAUACGGGCAGGCUAGAGGUAGGUAGGGGAGAAUGGAAUUCCCGGUGUAGCGGUGAAAUGCGCAGAUAUCAGGAGGAACACCGGUGGCGAAGGCGGUUCUCUGGGCCUCACCUGACGCUGAGGAGCGAAAGCGUGGGGAGCGAACAGG
rnacentral:rRNA from 1 species